rnacentral:tRNA from 1 species
GGGGCUGUAGCUCAGCUGGAAGAGCGCGUGCAUGGCAUGCAUGAGGCCAGGGGUUCGAGCCCCCUCAGCUCCACCA